CCAUCCUCCCUCUAUCCCUCCACCAUCCCUCCAUCCUCCCUCUCUCCAGGCCUCAGCCUCUGAGGGGCCGUGACCAGACCCUCGUUCCGAAUGGAUCCUCACUGCAGAGGAUGAUAUGACGUCACGUCGCCAGGGCGACCGGGCUCCCGGCGGCACGUGUCCUGUAUAAAAGCGGAAGAGAGAGCGGAGCGCUGCGCACACAGACUCCAGAAGCAUCCGAGAGGUAACUCCAUAACCCCAAAACAGCAGCAACCAUGUCAGACCUUUGUGUUGGAAUCAAUGGAUUCGGUCGCAUCGGCCGUCUGGUCCUGAGGGCUUGCCUUCAGAAGGGCAUUAAGGUCGUGGCCAUC